rnacentral:rRNA from 1 species
UCGGUGACAGACGAACUAGAUAAAACUCUAAGCGGUGGAUCACUCGGCUCGUGUGUCGAUGAAGAGCGCAGCCAGCUGCGUGAAGUAAUGUGAAUUGCAGGACACAUUGAACAUCGAUAUCUUGAACGCAAAUUGCGGCCUCGGGCAUUCCCGAGGCCACGCCUGUCUCAGGGUCGGUUGAACGUAUCUAUCGUCGGAUGCUUGUC